GCCGUUUGCAUCCCAGAGCUGACUGCAUAAACAUAUACACACUGGAUGGGCGAGCAUUUAGCCUGAGCAUAAACUGCAAUUUCCAAACAAAGAUCUGACUGACAAGGGAUCAUCUGCCAUCCCUCUGUACAGUCAAACCACAGGGACUGCUCGGUAGCAGUCUGGUCGGUCCCGGUGAAAUCCAUCCCUGCUAUGAGGGGGAGGGGGAGGAAGGGAGAAGGGGAGGGAAAGAUGACAGAUCCCUGUUUGCAUUCUUCAGAGAGAGCAGCUGCAAUUGUCUUACUACAGUAUGUCAACAUGAAAUUAUGACAAAUCAGGCGGGGAUGUACUAGCAGUUGAAAACAGUAAGGAGGAAAGCAAAGUUGAGGCAAGUUAGGAAGAAUGAACUAUACCUAAAACUCCGGCAGCCUAUGCCAUCCUGGUGGAAAAUGACUUUGACAAUAUAAUAGGACUGAAGACUGUAGGUAUACCUGGACAUGGCUGAAGGACCGUAUGCAAAGUUUUCAGGCUCUGCUACCUCUCUGCCUGCUGCAGCUGGCUGGCACCUCUGAGGAAGCUGCCACGUCACACCUCGCUGGAGUCGGGGAGAGCGUGCUGCUUCUCUGCACCUUCUCUAGAGGAAGCACUGUCGCUUGUCUUUUUCUGGACCAGGAUUCUGGUGCUUUGUGUCUCCAUUUGGUCCAUACUGAAGGCAAUUUACCUGACAUGCUGAGGUGGGUCAAUCACCUUUGAGAAGAGCAGAAGUGGGGCCUCCUGGUCUUCUUUCCUUCAUUCUUCCUAGGAGGCUGUGGCAUUGCUUUUAAAAAGAGUAAUGUAAGUGAAAAAAUGUAUGUGGAAAGAAUGUGCUUCAAAAAGAGAAAAGGAGAAGAGCUUCUCAUUUUUCCUGAAUGAAUAGCAAAAAUACCUUGUUUCUUCAAAAGGACACCAUUCCAACCAAAAAAAUCUCACAAUCUUUGUGUACUUUGUAGUACAAACACCAAGAUAUUUGGGAGAAAGUAUUUCUUUUUUUUUUCUUUUUUUUUUUUUCCUAGUUCAAUAGUGCUACAUGAUGGAGUUAACUUUGUUGAGUUUUGCAUGGCCUUCUUUCUAAUCAUCAGCCCUUUGAGAAAUGUGGAGGAGGGGCCAGUCCCUUCUCAGCAGUUAUGGGAAAUGAAGACCGAUUAAAUCAUAGGCUUUGCCCUGUCAGUAAAAAUGUAAAAAUGUCAAACAUGAAAAAAAGUAUUUCCAUAUUGGGUGAUGUGUUUUUUUAUUCAUUUUUUUUUCUCCGCUACAAUUGCUCUAGCAGUAUAAGAA
rnacentral:lncRNA from 1 species